GGAGAAAAGCAGGGGAUCGCAAGACCUUGCGCUUUUGGAGCGGCCGAUGCCUGAUUAGCUUGUUGGUGAGGUAAAAGCUCACCAAGGCUUCGAUCAGUAGCUGGUCUGAGAGGACGACCAGCCACACUGGGACUGAGACACGGCCCAGACUCCUACGGGAGGCAGCAGUGGGGAAUUUUGGACAAUGGGGGCAACCCUGAUCCAGCCAUGCCGCGUGAGUGAAGAAGGCCUUCGGGUUGUAAAGCUCUUUCAGCCGGAACGAAACGGUUACGGUUAAUACCCGUGACUACUGACGGUACCGGAAGAAGAAGCACCGGCUAACUACGUGCCAGCAGCCGCGGUAAUACGUAGGGUGCGAGCGUUAAUCGGAAUUACUGGGCGUAAAGCGUGCGCAGGUGGUUUUGUAAGUCAGAUGUGAAAUCCCCGGGCUUAACCUGGGAACUGCGUUUGAAACUACAAAGCUAG
rnacentral:rRNA from 1 species